GGGCCUGGAGCACCCCAAUCCUAAAUAUGGGAACGAUACAGAGAAGAUUAGCAUGUCCCUGGGCAAGGAUGACACACAGAUUUGUGAAGCAUUCCAUAUAUAU